GAUGAUCCUUGGUAAUGAGAACUUGUCCACUAUAUCUGUCACACUGAGGUAGAAGGAGUCAAAGUAUCCUCCUCGCUGUAUUAACUCUCUGACAAGUGACAAGUAGUAACGCUCUAGUUCUCUUCAAAACAGUAGACCAAGGGUUUCCUUCUCCUGAGAACAAAGGUAAACGGUCAAGCAAAGUGUGCAAGGUCGUUGAUGGAGUAUUCCAUGUGAAAUCCUCUCACCAGUCUGAGCCCCACCAACUGAACAUCAGAGGACCAACUUGCACCUGCAGAAACUUCAGCAGGACUCACAUCCCCUGCAGACA